rnacentral:rRNA from 1 species
GAUUAUGGCUCAGGAUGAACGCUAGCUACAGGCUUAACACAUGCAAGUCGAGGGGCAGCAUGAUCGAAGCUUGCUUGAUUGAUGGCGACCGGCGCACGGGUGAGUAACGCGUAUCCAACCUUCCCUGUAGUAGAGAAUAGCCCGGCGAAAGUCGGAUUAAUGCUCUAUGUUGUAUUUCGGUGACAUCUGAAGAAUACCAAAGGUUUACCGCUAUAGGAUGGGGAUGCGUCUGAUUAGGUUGUUGGCGGGGUAACGGCCCACCAAGCCCACGAUCAGUAGGGGUUCUGAGAGGAAGGUCCCCCACAUUGGAACUGAGACACGGUCCAAACUCCUACGGGAGGCAGCAGUGAGGAAUAUUGGUCAAUGGACGGAAGUCUGAACCAGCCAAAGUAGCGUGCAGGAUGACGGCCCUAUGGGUUGUAAACUGCUUUUAUAUAGGGAUAAAGUCGGGGACGUGUCCCCGUUUGUAGGUACUAUAUGAAUAAGGACCGGCUAAUUCCGUGCCAGCCGCCGC